AGAACUUAGCAGAGAUGCUUUGGUGCCUUCGGGAACUCUGAGACAGGUGCUGCAUGGCUGUCGUCAGCUCGUGUUGUGAAAUGUUGGGUUAAGUCCCGCAACGAGCGCAACCCUUAUCCUUUGUUGCCAGCGGUCCGGCCGGGAACUCAAAGGAGACUGCCAGUGAUAAACUGGAGGAAGGUGGGGAUGACGUCAAGUCAUCAUGGCCCUUACGAGUAGGGCUACACACGUGCUACAAUGGCGCAUACAAAGAGAAGCGACCUCGCGAGAGCAAGCGGACCUCAUAAAGUGCGUCGUAGUCCGGAUUGGAGUCUGCAACUCGACUCCAUGAAGUCGGAAUCGCUAGUAAUCGUGGAUCAGAAUGCCACGGUGAAUACGUUCCCGGGCCUUGUACACACCGCCCGUCACACCAUGGGAGUGGGUUGCAAAGGAAGUAGGUAGCUUAACCUUCGGGAGGGCGCUUACCACUUUGUGAUUCAUGACUGGGGUGAAGUCGUAACAAGGUAAGCGUAGUGCU
rnacentral:rRNA from 1 species